GCGGUAGCAGGACCCGCCCCGCGCGCUCUCCCUCGGGUCCGACGACGGUUACUGCUGCAGGAGGCGGGGCCUCCGAGGAGAGAAGCAGCCUCUAGGGCAGGCGCUGGGGGCCGCGUGGCUCGUUUCCACAACUUUAUUAAACCAGAGCCCAACACGUAAAUAGAAAACACCAGAGUUCUGAGGCCGCCCCGCCCCGCCCCGCCCCGGUCCCAGCCGCCCUCAGGAGCUGUGCUUCUGCCGCUUCCAGAAGCGCUUGACGUCGCUGUGACCAGCCGGGGUCACCACCAUCAGCCGCUUGGCCGAGUUCUCGAACACCAGCACACCCAGCUCCCGAGCAUGGGCCAGCAGCAGCUCAAAGUCCACUUGCGACAGGAACUGGUUAUACAGGACACCUGCAGUCCGCAGGGCAGGGGCAGCGGAGGGCCAGCGUAGAGAGAAAAGCCAAGAACGUGAGGCCCCUGCGUGGCAGCCUCGGGGCAGGGGUCUGCGCUUGCCAGCCACCUCCAUUUCAAAGCUAAUCCUCUAUGCUUGUCUGUUCCAAAGCUCAUCCUGACAGUAGUUGAUCCAGCCACAUUCAGUAAGGCAAUAUAACACGGGUGGGUAAGAAAACCCACUAAUGCUCACCAAACCAGAGAAACUACUGUGAAUUAUCCCUCCCAAUUUCCCUCUUCUAGCUAAAUCCCAACAGCACUGAUUUGAGACAAUUUACUACUACAGACUCACUCCCCAAAUAAAGUGUCCUGCCAGCUUUCCUCUCCCAGCCCAUGUAAUAAACAAACCGAAAUGCAUGAAUAGCUUUUUCUGUUCAUCAAGGCUCAAGUGUCCUUCUUCCGGCCGGUGACAAGAAUCAACCACCAGAAGCCACUCACCCUCAGUGAACCGGAGUCUGUCCCUUUCCAGCUCCCAUAGCCGAAUCUGGUCUGUGAUGGUGGGUGGCAGCACAGGCGUCUGCAGGGGCAAGCAGUUGCUCUGAAGAUUCAGGAAUACUGUCCCAGACAUCCCUAGCCAUCUACUCAUUCCCCAGAUUUGGAUGUCCCUUUCUCUUUUCCAUCACUUCAUCGCCAGAUGCCAGGGGUUUCCAGCCUCCAGCAGCUUGGUACCUGUUUGAGCAUCACCGGGUGGGCCCUUGUCCUUAGGAAAUGGAUGAUCUGGGAAAACAGACAAGAAUGGGAUCAGGCGCUCAAGUAAGAAGGCAGGAAAGCUACCUAAGCUGUCACCUAAUGUCACCAGAAUACCAGCUUGCUGUUUAAAAACCUGCAGCCAUGUGCCUAUCAUUAACCUAUCCCCAUUCAGCUGUCAUUCUAAGCUGCUGCUCCCACUGGUCAUGUCUGCUAUUCCUUCUCUAGCACAUCUGCCCUUUGCAUAGUCUUGUUUUAUUCUUCUUUCUUUAAAAUAGCAGCAACUAUUAUUUUUUGAGCACUUACUGCAUAGCAGGCUCUGAGCCAAAGGCUUUACUGCUAUUCUCUCAUUGAAUCCUUCCCAAAGCCUGUGAGGGGAGAACUGUUAUUAUUUCCAUUUUCCAGAUGACAAGAGUGAGGCUCAAAGAAGUGAAGCAACCAGGCCAUUAAUGCAGCUAGGAAGGGGUUGGCGGUGGAGACACAAAUCUAUAUCUCCUCCCCUUGUGUUUUUUCCCACGCUCAGAGCCUUGACUUCUCUUUAUGUGCAUGGUCUAUGCUCAAACACAACUCGCCAGCUGAUAGUAGCCUUCUGUAAGAUGAGCUGUAUCCCACAGCCCAAGUGCAGCCUAUCUUCCUGCACCCACCUUCCCCAAGUGGGGAUACCUGCUGGGCUGUGAUGCCACUGGCGAUGGCCUGCUGCACGCUCUCCCGGGUCACCUGUGCCACCACCAUAUUGGGGAAGCGAUAGAGCAUCUCUGAGAAGAGGGCAAUGAGGGCGAUCUGCAACUCCGACUCUGGCUCAGGGGUAGGAAGACAAGAUGAGGAGGCUAUCCCCAUACCUAGACUCCCUCCAGACCUUGAAGUGUGACCCAAAAUGUCAGAGAACUCUGUAAACUGGCAGGUAAACAUGAACAUGAAUCGGCACUCCCUCCUGCGUCCUUCCCUCUCCCCACUCCCAUUCCCAGGCUGCUGUCCUCCCAGCCCUCUCUGGCCUCACCAGUGUAGGCAUAUAGUCGGUAAUUAGUUUCCACGAUAAUGAAGCCUGGCUGAUGGGCAGUACCCCCAGCUCCAGAAACACCUGAUGAGAGAUUGAUAGCCAGGCGUGUGGGGUAGUAACGCCGAGAUUUCCUCUAGAAAAGACAGAAGGGAAAGGCAGAGGGCCCCCUCUCAGGUGUCACUAACCAUAUUCCUGCCUGAGAUAUCAGACCCCUCCCAAAGCAAGAGCCUCAACACCCAAUUUAUCGACUCCAAGGAACCCAAGUACUCAGUCUGGCGACUUCUUCCUGGUACUGCCUCCUGAGAUCCCAUUCUUUUUUGUUUUUGAGUAUAGAUGAUACAAUGUAACAUUAGUUUCAGGUACACAAAAUAGUGAUUCAAGAACUCUACAUCUACUUAUGCUAUACUCACUGCCAGUGUAGCUACCAUCUGAGACCCCACCCCCUUUUUAAAAGCCAAGGCAACAGACCACCUUGCCUUUCCUAGAAGCCAUGUAUCUGGGUGCUCAUACCUUCCUCUGGAAAACAAGCCCAAACUCACGCAGAUGUUGCAGGAAAUUCAACAACGAAUCACUCAUACCUUCCACAGAGUAAUCCUGGGGAAAAGAAGUGGCCAGUUGGGGUCCAAACACAUCCCAUUCUCCCCCUUCCCAACCCCAUACACUCAUUCCCUCUUUUCCCAUCUAUGCUUUGGUCAUUUUUAUCUUUCACACUUUUGCCCAUAACCUGACGUCCCCCCUCAUCUACCUACCAGCCUGCCCACCCAAGCCUCCAGCUCCAUCCCCCUUGCUUACCUUGCCCAGAGUAGAGAAGCUGAGCUGGAAGAGGAAGGAUAGAAUCUCCACUAGGUCCAUGCCCCGACUCUAGGGAUGAAUGGUCAGUGACAAAGGGGCAGGGAUGGAAGGGAGAAAAUGAGGGGACAGAACAUCAGGAAACAGUCUGUGAGGGUAGUCUCUCAAUGGUUCUCGCGAAGAUCAGAGCAUGCCAGCAAGUCACCUCCUCACCUGGGCUGUCUGCAGAUAUUGCAACAUAAAGUACCAUAGCUGGGCAGGAGUGUCCAGCAACAGGAACUGGAAGCCGGCUGAAGUAAUGCAGGGUGGCUCUCCGGGUUCAGUGCUGGAGGCAGAGAGGGACCAUGGCAGAGGUAUGCGAAGAGAGGCCAUCGUCCCCAUUUGUCCUCGCAUUUUACCUUGGUUUCUCUCUGGCCAUACUCCACGCAGCUCUCCUUUUUUAGUUAACUGCCUGCAAUCCUAACCCACCCUGGACACACAGUUUAGCAGGGAUCUGAUGCACCUCUGGUUUCCUCACCUCUUCAUGAGCCCAGCCUGGCUGAGGAGCUGAGCCAAGUCCUGGCUGACGGCUGCACUGGGGGAGCCCACCAUGAAGUGCAGGACCACCUGAGGAACAGAAGUAGACAGAGAGAACGAUGCCUUUAAGGGCCAUGGGAUGUAGGAGUACAAGCAGAGACACAGAGUCCCAAGUCCUCACCUCCCAUCGCUCCUCGGCGUACUUGUCAAGUGAGGGAACAUCCCGGGCGUGCUUGUCUGGACCCAGCUGACUUGUGUCAUCAGACCAGGCCUUGCCCCUAUGCCAGAAUGGGCCAAGAAUAAGGGACCCUGGCUGUGUUCCCUGCCUGCCCCUCUGCUCUUUCCCUCUUCAUCCCCACGGGCUCUGAGUAGGAGACACUUCUUUCCUACAUCAUGCAGCUCCAUCUUGUCCAAUUUAUCCCUAAAGGAGCUCCCAACAGUGGAGCCCACAAGGUUCCAGAGAGGCUCCUCAAGGGCUCUCUGCCCCAUCGCUGCCAACCCCACUGCUGACAGGUUAAAUACUAGUUCCCCUGGCCUAGCUUAGGAAGAUGGAAGUGACAUACCCACCCAGAAGGGCAAUGCGGAGGUUCUGGCGGAAGAUGGGGUUGAGGAUGAGGCCCUGGAGACCACCAGGGAGCAGCUGGGUGUGCCAGAUACGGAGACCACUCAGCAGUCCUGUACUUUCCUCCUGAGCUCUGAAACAGAAGCAGAGAGGUUAAGGGGGUGUCUGGAGAAUAAAAAGAAGGAGGCCCAUAAAGGCCUCCAUUUCUGCCUUUUCUGAACUGAUCAUCCCUUGGAACACCAUUUCACACAGAGAAAACAGUGUCUUCUUAAGGCAGAUUUCUUUACUGCCACGCCUACCAGAACUUUGUUGAAGACAUCACAACUUUCCGGGAGGGAAAAUAGAGUAUGCAGAGUUUCCCAGACUUGUUUAAAUGUAAGUGUUGUGGUAUAUCCAUUAAUAUUUCUUGGAAAUGUUCCAAGGAACACCUGGAAGAUCUAGUUGUUGAGAAAUCUGUAUCUGGCUGAGCAUGCUGCAAAGACUCACUUGCUGAAUUCCUUCUUCACCCACAGGGCUACAGCAGCUUGUGGCAAAGGCUGCUCCAGAAAGAGCAUCCGCAUCACCCAGUUCUUAGCCAAAAAUGGGAGCUCCCUGUAAGGAGGUAGAGGUAAACUGUUAAUAUCAGAAACUGCCUUACCUGUAUCUCUGCCCUCAACAGCCUCUCAAACAUCUCAUCCCGCCCACAGCUUUACCAGUCUUGCUGUUCCCACUCUGUUUUGGCUUGACACACUUCAAUCUUCAAGCCCCAGCAGGGCUAAGCUUCAAGUCAUGAUAACUUAUUCCAGCCUGAAGGCCCCAUUACAUUUGGUCCCUACCAUGAAGGAGGUCCUCACCUGAAGACAGCCAGACAGGUGGCAGGAUGCCCAUACAAUCGGUCCAAGACGCCAGGGCUCAGGCCCCCUAGGAAUUCCUGCAGAUUCCUGCAUUGUAGGUGUACUCGGUUCAGUCCUCCCCUUGCGGGGGUGCUCUCCAUCACCUGAGAGAUGCAAGGUUAGAAAUGCACCCCCACAGUCCACGCCAGUGUCAUCCCUCAGCUCAUUCCCGUUCCAGACCCACUGGCCCCCACAAUAACCUGUACUUUCUAUGAUUUCCUUUCUAUGUCACUCAUCUCCUUUCCUUUCUCCCAGACCUGACCAACCUCCUCUCCUCUCUUGCUUCCUUGCCACUUCUGGCCUCAACUCCAGUUUUCUCUCUGUUUCCAAAUAGAGAAUUGUUCAUUGUCCCACAUUUGCAGAAUCAGUUUUUAUUUCAAUGUUUACCUAAGCAGUGACGCGGAAACUAGUUUCAGACCAGCCCUCCCCGGGCUCCCGGCUCCCGUCAGCUCAGGGCAUGAGCUCGCGUUGGCCAGUCCUUCGCACCUACUUCCCGCCCCGUGGGUCCUGCGCUGCCUGCCCGCCUGUCCUCCUGGCCCCGAAGGACCGCACCCGAGCACCCGGACCCACACAGCCCCGGCUCCUGUCCCCCGCCCCCGGCCCCCUUCCUCCCUCCCGCCUGAGUCGCCACCCCUCGUGUACCCGGAGUCGCGAGGCGUCGCUUAGCCGGAGCUACGGUCCCGCCGUGCCUCCCAGGAAUAGGAGAAUGGACGAGGGGGAUGGAGAGAGGGACAAAGAACCGCACAGGAGACCAGACGGGAGGACUGCGGCGAGAAGGAAAGGAGGGGAAAGAGUGGAAAAGUAGGGAGGUAAGAACAGGCGCGGCACCCGCUCGCCCGCCGCGGCGUAUUCUGGGAAUUGGAGUCCUGUCCUGGCUCGCCCCGGGAUGGGCCGAAGCGUGGCUGACUACAAUUCCCAAAAGGCACCGCCGCCGGGAGGGAGGCUGGCCUUUAAUCGAGAGAGCCGAGGAAACCCGAGGCCGCGCAACUUGGUUCCGCGUCGGGUUCCGCUCUCGCCGCCAACGGCUAGUUUAACCGACCUGGACAGCGGGCGGAUGCCGGGAGGGGAAGGGCCCCGGGGCUCCCUGGCAGAGGUGCGGACCUGGCUCUUGGCGACACGCUUAGUGGAGAGACGCGGCGAACCGCGCUCCUUGAGCCCUUUGCUCUCGUCAAGUCGGAGCAAAGCACUCUGUAUCUAGAGCGAGUUAGGGUUGGCGCUGCUCCCCGCGCUCAGAACAGCCCUAAUGCCACUUCCCCGGGCUCCCACCGCCCCGCUUCUGUAGAACGUGCCAAUAAACACAGUUGCUGUAAAGAAACCAGUGGUUGGUCUGGUUGGUCGAUGAGGCUGGGGCAGGGCUGGGGAACGUCCUAAGCCAGAGCCAGGGCUGCAGUACAGCGGCCUUAGGACUGUAUCGUUCCCGUUACAGACGACGAGACGGAGGCCCCACAGACCGUCGGCCCGACGCCCCGCGGCUGGGGUUGCGGAGCCCGCACAGCGCACCCGGCCCGCCCGGCCGCUCCCCCGCCUCUGGCUCUUUCCGUGGCGGUCGGUGCAUCACAUCCGCAAAAAUGACACGAAACUGACAAUGGCUAACGGAGCAAGCAAGGGGAAGUCGUGCAGACCAGCUUUAAAAAGAGAAAACCCUUUAAGGCUCUGUCCAGGGGUGCCUGGGUGGCUCAGUCGGUUGGGCAUCUGCCUUCAGCUCAGGUCAUGAUCCCAGAGUCCCAGGUUGGAGCUCCACAUUGGGCUCCCUGCUUAGCAGGGAGUCUGCUUCUCUCUCUGCUCCACACCCCACUCAUGCUCUGUCAAAUUAAUAAAAAUAAAAAUAAAUAAAAGGCUGCCCUGUCCAGAACAGGAGCCACUAGCCACCUGUGGCUAUUUAAAUUAACCAAAAAUUUAAAUUCAGUUCCUCAGUCACAUCAGCCCCAUUUCCAGUUCUCAAUAGCCACAGGUGGCUAGUGGCUACCUAUUGCAUGGUGCAGAUACAGACCAGUUCUAUGAUCACAGGUUGUCUUGGAGAGUCCUGCUUAAAGGGAUGCAGUGAAUGGGGGCAAGUUAUCUGAUGUCAGGAACUGAGUACAGGUUGAGUUUCUGGAGCUGGAUAAUCAGCCUGCACUCCUUGGAGCUUCCCAGCAUAGGAUUAUCCAACCUGUGAUGGAGAGAUCAUAACCUUCUCCCCUCAGGCAGCACCCUGGAGAAAAAGAACAGCCAGGAACCUAUGGGCUGCUUCACACUAGCUUUGCAGUUUCCUGGCUGUGUGGCCUUGAGCAAGUUGCUUAAAAUAGUCUUUUCUGUGAAAUGGCAGCAACUGUUUCAUCUGUAUUAAAUAAGCUAUAAUAUGUAAUAAGCAUGGUCCUGGCACACUGGAGGUACCCAGUAAACAUUAUCAUUAUUAUUUUCUUUAAAAAAAAAAAAAAGUAAAAUCACACCUGUAUUAAGUACUAUAAAGAAAGUCAAGUGCUUUGAGAGCAUCAAGAGGGGAUUUGAUCUGACGGGCCAACUCGGGGAAGAUUGCUGAAGGACAAGCAGGACGUAACAAGGCAAAGACCGCAGUGAACUAUGUUCCUGGGAGGGGAACAAUAUACUCCAGAGGCCAUGGCAAGAGGGACUGGCCCAGUUGUGGGAACUGAAAGCAGGCCAAUGCUGUAUAAAGGACAGCGUGGAGAAGAAUGCUGAAAGAAGGGGGUGGGGAGCAACUUGGUCAGGAAGGUUUUGUUCUUUAUUGUAAAAUCAACAGGAAGCCAUGAAAGGAUUUGAAAUAAAGUAGCAGGGUGAGAUUUAUAUCUGACUGACUGCAGUCAAAACCAACCAUAGAAGAGCAGGAACAGAUCCUGGGAGACUACUAUGGUGGCCUCGGCAGGAUGGAGGUAGUGUAUGCAGGACGGUGAUGGAGGUGGAGAGAAAUGACAAAUUUAAGGAAAAUCUGGGAAGCAAGAUCAACAGAACUUCAUGAUAGGCUGACCUUGGGAGAGGGGAGAAGGUGUAUCAAGGAUGUUCCCCAGGUUUUUGGCAUGUGCAGCUGAGUGGAUGAGGCUGCUAUCCACUGACUCAGGAAACCAUGGAGGAAGGAGCAGGUUUGAACACUGAGACAAGUUCAAAUGAACUCCAAGUGGUUGUGUAGGUCUAGAGCUUUGGGAGUUCUCAACUCACUGCCAUGGCUUCUGUUAUUCACCAUUCUGGGUUCUGGCCUCUAACCUCCUGACCUGAUGAGCACUGGAUGUUAUACUCUAUUUUGGCAAAUAGAAUUAAAAAAAAAAUUUUUUUUUAAAGUAAAAUAAAUAAAUAAACUUC